ACAGCAGUCGCCGCGGGAAUACAGAGGGUGCGAGCGUUAAUCGGAUUUACUGGGCGUAAAGCGUGCGUAGGCGGCUUUUUAAGUCGGAUGUGGAAUCCCCGAGCUUAACUUGGGAAUUGCAUUCGAUACUGGGAAGCUAGAGUAUGGGAGAGGAUGGUAGAAUUCCAGGUGUAGCGGUGAAAUGCGUAGAGAUCUGGAGGAAUACCGAUGGCGAAGGCAGCCAUCUGGCCUAAUACUGACGCUGAGGUACGAAAGCAUGGGGAGCAAACAGGAUUAGAGACCCCAGUAGUCCCUGUCUCUUAUAU
rnacentral:rRNA from 1 species